rnacentral:tRNA from 1 species
GCCGCGGUGGCGGAACUGGCAGACGCGCAUGGCUUAGGACCAUGUCCUUCUGGGGUGGGAGUUCAACUCUCCCCCGCGGCA